GUCUCUGUAGCGCAAUGGAUAGCGCGUUGGACUUCUAAUCCAAAGGUCGUGGGUUCAAAUCCCACAUGGGAUU
rnacentral:tRNA from 1 species